rnacentral:ncRNA from 2 species
UUCUUAUCGAGAGCGGCGGAGGGAUAGGCCCGAUGAAGCCCGGCAACCGAUUUGUGUACAGCCCUUUAUUUCUGCGCUGCCUGCAAAUGUCAUGGUGCUAAUUCCUACAAUGCCGCAUGGAUGCGGACGUUGGCAGAUGAGAU